GUCUUUUUGUUAAUAAUUUAAAGUCUAAUCUGCCCACUGAUAUAUUUAUUAAAGGGCUGCAGUAUUUUGACUGUACAAAGGUAGCAUAAUCAUUAGUCUUUUAAUUGGUGACUUGUAUGAAAGAUUGGAUGAAAUAUAAACUGUCUCUUUUAUAAAAAAAAAAUUGAAUUUAAUUUUUUAAUUAAAAAGUUAAAAUUAUUUAAAAAGACGAGAAGACCCUAUAGAGUUCUAUAAUUUAUUUUGUAAAUAUUUUUAUUUUUAUAUUUUUAUAAUUUUAAAUUAUUUUGUUGGGGUGAUAAAAAAAUUUAAUUAACUUUUUUUAAUAGUUUACAUUAAUAAGUGAUUAAAUGAUCCAAUUUUAUUGAUUAAAAGAAAAAAUUACCUUAGGGAUAACAGCGUAAUUUUUUUUUUAGUUCAAAUAAAAAGAAAAGUUUGCGACCUCGAUGUUGGAUUAAGAUAAAAUUUAAAUGUAGAAGUUUAAAAUUUUGAUCUGUUCGAUCAUUAAAAUCUU
rnacentral:rRNA from 1 species